UGCGAAAGGAACAAUGACGACAUUUCCGUCCGUGCCAUUUGGGGGGAGGGGGGGGCAGCUGGAUCAUGGUUCUGGAAAGGGGAUGAGAAUAUUUUUCAACUUCAAGUAAGUAACAUCAUUUAUAGCCUAAAUUUCAUAGGCGAUUUAAUGAACGAACUGAGUAGAGUGAUCAGUGCCACCUGUGAGUUCUCCUUGCAAAGGACUAUUAUUAUUAUUAUUAUUAUUGUUAUUAUUGUUGUUGUUGUUGUUGUUGUUGUAGGGGGCGCGGUGGCGCAGUGGGUUGGACCAGGUCCUACUCUCCAGUGGGUCUGGGGUUCGAGUCCCGCUUGGGGUGCCUUGCGGCGGACUGGCGUCCCGUCCUGGACCUGCAGCGUUGCUCCAUCGUUCAGAUGAGUGUUUCACGGACCAGCUCACAUGAAGGUCUCCGCUUCUCUUCCACCUCUUCUAUGAUUUUUUGGUAGUUUAUGAACACUUCUCUGAAUUGUAAAAAUCCUACAUAUACUAUUAUAUAAUAUAACAGCAAUAAGAAAGGCACUGUAAGUGUUGUCUUCUAUCAUACAUUAAUACAUGCUUUAUAAAUUUACAGCUCACUUAUCUGUCAAUAUUUAAUUUAAGAAGUUUAUUUUUUUAAUUUAAUUAACAAAUGUGGCUUUCACAUUUGCAGCAAAGAGCACUCAAAAGAAACAGGAAGGGGGGGACCGAAUAAGUUCAGGUCAAUUGCACAGUGUUUACAGCAUCCCUUCCGAUACUUUUUGUUGAUUAAUAACAACAUGAUGAUGACCUUUGCACACCUCUGUGAAAUGAACUGGUAAAGAUAUUAUAAAAAGUAAUGUAAAUGCUGUAAACGUAGCUAAUUACAUCCAGAGGGCAAAGUAUGUCAUCAUCAUCAUCAUCAUCAUUUACAUUUAGUAGGAAAGUGGUUAAGAAUCAUCGAUAUUUGGAUAAAUUUUUAUGCAGCUACUUGUGUGAUGAACGUUGGUUCAUAUGAUGGAAAGAAACAAACUAACUGCACUUAAUAAUCACGUCUGUAUCUAAGUGUCUCUUUCUCCUCAUGUAAUGAACACAUUUUAUUUUCUAUGAGAUGUUCGUCACUUUGGAGAAACGCGCCUGAUAAAUGAAAAAAUGUACAUCACAGAAAUAGCUGCAUAAAAGUUUCAGUUUUAAUGCUCAAGGUUAAUAAAAUGUUAAAAUUCAAAGUCUUAAAUAUUUCU
rnacentral:lncRNA from 1 species